GUGGGGAAUCUUCCGCAAUGGACGAAAGUCUGACGGAGCAACGCCGCGUGAGUGAAGAAGGUUUUCGGAUCGUAAAGCUCUUUCGUUAGGGACGAACGUGCUCUUUGUGAAUAAUGAGGAGUAAUGACGGUACCUAAAUAAGAAGCCACGGCUAACUACGUGCCAGCAGCCGCGGUAAUACGUAGGUGGCAAGCGUUGUCCGGAAUUAUUGGGCGUAAAGCGCGCGCAGGCGGGAUAGAAAGUCUGUGUUAAAAGUGCGAGGCUCAACCUCGUGAGGGGACAGAAACUGGUAUUCUUGAGUGUCGGAGAGGAAAGUGGAAUUCCAAGUGUAGCGGUGAAAUGCGUAGAGAUUUGGAAGAACACCAGUGGCGAAGGCGACUUUCUGGACGAUGUCUGACGCUGAGGCGCGAAAGCUAGGGGAGCGAACGGGAUUAGAAACCCGGGUAGUCC
rnacentral:rRNA from 1 species